UACGAGUGCCUCAAGCGUUAUCCGGAAUUAUUGGGCGUAAAGGGUGUGUAGGCGGUCCUGUUAGUCUCUUGUUAAAUUCUUCGGCUCAACCGGGGGUCUGCAAGGGAAACGGCAGGACUAGAGGAUGCGAGGGGUCUCUGGAACUCAUGGUGUAGCGGUGAAAUGCGUUGAUAUCAUGGGGAACACCAAAAGCGAAGGCAGGAGACUGGAGCAUUUCUGACGCUGAAACACGAAAGCGUGGGUAGCGAAUGGG
rnacentral:rRNA from 1 species